CCUGCACUAAACUCCGCCCUCACGUUUCCAUGCAUUGGCGCGCUUCGUUUUGGUGCUCUGCUCCCCUCCCGGCGGUGGUCAGUAGUGGGCUGCCUAGGCUGUGCAGGUGAAAACAUGGCAGGCAUGAGUGUCACGGGUCCUCGGUCCGGUUCGGCCGCCGGCCCAGUUCAACAGGGACUGAAGGAGGCUCUCAUUGAGACUCUCACGGCGAUUUUGUCCCCGGUUCAAGAAGUGCGUUCGGCAGCAGAGGAGCAGAUAAAAGUGCUGGAAGUAACCGAGGAGUUUGGUGUCCACCUGGCAGAACUCACCGUGGACCCACAGGGGGCGCUAGCCAUCCGCCAGUUGGCGUCGGUGAUCUUGAAGCAAUAUGUCGAGACACACUGGUGCUCCCAGUCCGAGAAGUUCAGGCCACCAGAAACCUCAGAUCGGGCUAAGGCUGCCAUCCGAGAGCUGCUUCCCGGAGGGCUCCGGGAAGCCAUCAGCAAGGUGCGCUCCAGCGUGGCGUACGCUGUCUCGGCCAUCGCCCACUGGGACUGGCCCGAGGCCUGGCCCCAGCUCUUCAACCUGCUGAUGGAGAUGCUGGUCAGCGGGGACGUCAACGCCGUGCACGGUGCCAUGCGGGUCCUCACAGAAUUCACACGGGAGGUUACGGACACACAAAUGCCCCUGGUUGCCCCCGUGAUUUUACCAGAGAUGUACAAGAUCUUCACCAUGGCCGAGGUCUACAGCAUCCGUACACGCUCCAGAGCUGUGGAGAUCUUCACCACCUGUGCCAACCUCAUCUGUGCCAUCGAAGAGCUGGAAAAGGGUGCUGCCAAAGCGCUGAUCUUCCCCGUGGUCCAGCAGUUCACUGAGGCGUUCGUGCAGGCCCUGCAGAUGCCUGAUGGUGCCUCCUCUGACAGUGGUCUGAAGAUGGAAGUCCUCAAGGCGGUGACGGCGCUGGUGAAGAACUUCCCCAAGCCCAUGGUGUCUUCCAUGCAGCAGAUCCUGCCCAUCGUGUGGAACACGCUCACAGAGAGCGCCUCUUUCUAUGUGAGAACAGAGGUCAACUACACGGAGGACGUGGACGAUCCCAUAGACUCGGACGGUGAGGUGCUAGGCUUUGAGAAUCUGGUGUUCAGUAUCUUUGAGUUCGUCCACACGCUGCUGGACAACAGCAAGUUCAAGAGCACGGUGAAGAAGGCCCUGCCCGAGCUCAUCUACUACGUCAUCCUCUACAUGCAGAUCACAGAGGACCAGAUCAAAGUGUGGACGGCCAACCCUCAGCAGUUUGUUGAGGACGAGGACGAUGACACCUUCUCCUACUCGGUCCGCAUCUCUGCUCAGGACCUUCUGCUGGCCGUUGCUACAGAAUUCCAGAACGAGAGUGCAGCGGCGCUGGCGGCCGCAGCCACGAGACACCUGCUGGAGGCGGAGCAGGCCAAGAACAGCGGGAACCAGCACUGGUGGAAGGUCCAUGAGGCCUGCAUGCUGGCCUUGGGCUCGGUCAAGACCAUCAUUACAGAGAACGUGAAGAAUGGCCGCAUUCAGUUCGACAUGCACGGGUUCCUGGCCAACGUCAUCCUGGCCGACCUCAACCUGGUUGCGGCGUCUCCCUUCCUAUUGGGCCGGGCCCUGUGGGCCGCCAGUCGCUUCACCACGGCCAUGUCCCCGGAGCUCAUCCAGCAGUUCCUCCAGGCCACCGUCAGCGGCCUGCAGGACAGCCAGCCGCCCUCCGUCCGCAUCUCGGCCGUCAGGGCCAUCUGGGGCUACUGUGACCAGCUGAAGCUGUCGGAGAGCACCCACGUGCUGCAGCCCUUCCUGCCCAGCAUCCUGGAAGGGCUGGUGCAGCUGGCCGCCCAGUUCAGCUCGGAGGUGCUCACGCUGGUCAUGGAGACCCUGUGCAUCGUGUGCACGGUGGACGCCGCCUUCACCACCAGCGCCGAGAACAAGAUCUGCCCGCUCACCAUCGCCAUAUUCCUCAAGUACAACAACGAUCACGUGGUGGCCUCCCUGGCGCAGGACAUCUUCAAGGAGCUGGCCCAGGUGGAGGGCUGCCAGGGGCCCAUGCAGAUGCGCCUCAUCCCCACGCUGGUCAGCAUCAUGCAGGCCCCCUCCGACAAGAUCCCGCCCGGACUUUGUGCGACCUCCAUCGACAUCUUGACCACAGUGGUGCGCAACACCAAAGCCCCUCUCUCUGAGAUGCUGGUGUGUCAGGCCUUCCCCGUGGUCGCCCAGUGCACCCUGCGCACCGAAGACAACGCAAUCAUGCAGAACGGCGGCGAGUGCCUGCGGGCCUACGUGUCCAUCGCCCUGGAGCAGGUGGGCCAGUGGCGGGACGACCAGGGCAACACGGGCCUGUGGUACGUCAUGCAGGUGGUCAACCAGCUGCUGGACCCCCGCACCUCGGAGUUCACGGCGGCGUUCGUGGGGCGCCUGGUGUCCACGCUGAUCUCGCGGGCCGGCACGGAGCUGGGCGAGCAGCUGGACCAGAUCCUGCGGGCCAUCCUCAGCAAGAUGCAGCAGGCGGAGACGCUCAGCGUGAUGCAGUCCCUGAUAAUGGUGUUUGCCCACCUGGUGCACUCCCAGCUGGACCCGCUGCUGGAGUUCCUGUGCAGCCUGCCGGGGCCCACGGGCAAGCCAGCGCUGGAGUUUGUCAUGACUGAGUGGAUGAGUCGGCAGCACCUCUUCUACGGACAGUAUGAGGGAAAAGUCAGUACGGUGGCUCUCUGCAAGCUGCUGCAGCAUGGCCUCAACACCAACGACAAGCGCCUGCAAGACAUCGUGGUGAAGGGGGAGGAGAUUAUCAACCUCGAGGAGGGCAUCCGGACACGCUCCAAAUCCGCCAAGAACCCAGAGAGGUGGACCAACAUUCCUUUGCUAGUGAAGAUUUUUAAACUCAUUAUAAACGAGCUGUCGUCUGUGGUGGAGGCCAACGCCACCCGCGCCACUGCCUCAGACUGGAGCCAAGAUUCCACCGGCAUGUGGGAGGAGCAGGAGGCCGAGGACGGGGUGGACGAUGAAGACGAGGACGAGGACGAAGGCCUGGCGGGUCAGCUGCUCUCCGACCUCAUCGCCUCCAACAAAUAUGACGAUGAUUAUUAUGAGGACGAUGAAGAGGACGACCCGGAUGCUUUGAAGGACCCCUUGUAUCAAGUUGACCUACAGGCCUACCUGACGGACUUCCUCACCCAGUUCGCCCAGCAGCCAUGUUACAGCAUGUUCUCGGGCCACCUCAACGACGCAGAGAGGAGAGCCCUACAGUCCAUAGGCCUCUAGCGCUCCGCCGGCCUCUGGCCCUCUGUAGGCCUCUGGGCCCUCUGUAGGCCUCUGGGCCUUCUGUAGGCCUCUGCCUUCUGUAGGCCUUCUGUAGGCCUCUGGGCCUUCUGUAGG